CUCCAAAAAGUAUAAAAAGUCUGUCUCGUUCUUCGAAUAGUCAUUCCGGCGAUUGUCGUCAACUAGCAAGCUUAUCUCUACUUCAGGAGCACAACAGCGUCAACUUCAUUCAAGAUGAAGGCUUAUAUCUGCUUGGUCGUUCUGGUGUGCCUGGGCUCUGUCCUCGCGGCUGAAACUAACGAAGCCGACGAGGUUGCUGUGAA
rnacentral:lncRNA from 1 species